CAGAGUUCGCCGCACAUGCUGGAUCUAGGUCCAGGUCUGCACCCAGCCUGAGUGACCGAUGGCGGCCAGGGGCGAGAGGUAUUCUCCAGGAAUCAGGAACAGACUAAAUGGAAACUCAGCGGUACCCAGCAACCCAUGAUGGCGAGCUUGGCACUCCCCACGACUCCAAAGGGUGUGCCCCAGAUGAUUCAAUGUUUAUUGCAGGGGUCUCUGCUGUGAUAUUCCGGAAGCUGCAGCACCACUGCAGCAGGGAAGGCCAGGAACGUUGA
rnacentral:lncRNA from 13 species